rnacentral:lncRNA from 1 species
CUCUCGGAUAACGGGGCAGGCCGGUGGCCCACGCAGCCCACCAGCUUGCAGGGAGGGCAGACCCUGGGGGAUGUGAGGGAGGCUUUCUCACGCAGACCCUAAAACGGUGAGCGCCAGGGAGCCCCGCCUGCUUGUCCCCUCCCCAGAUCCCUCGGGCUCUGGAGACCUUGCGGGCCCCCUGUCCGUGACCACCUGAAACAGGUCCUGGAGCUGCUACUGCUGGCUUAGGCUGGUUGGUGGAAAGGAUCCAGGGCUGUUGUGAAGGCCUUGGGGAGUCCAGAAGCCGCCUGGCACCUUCUGGGUCCAGACGCUGCCCUUCAGCCCUGCCAUUUCAGCCAGCCUCAGCGUCGCUGUAGAGGCAGGCCGCCCUUUCUGCCACUGUCUGGCUGGUAAGUCCAGGCUCAUAGCCGGGUCAUGCAUUCCCCACUCAUUGGGUACUGGUUUUCGGGCAGUCUUGGGGUGGGGACGCUGGCAGGGUCCGGGUACAGGGCCAUGUGUUGGGCAACCCAGUCCUUUCCAAAGCCGGGGCUAGAAUGCUGGCCCUCCACACAGUCGGUAAAGGUGGGGCUGAGAGUCGACCCCAUGUUGGGGUCAAAGGGCCAGUUCCACUCCCCCGCUCCUCCCAUCAAUCAGACACCCCUGGCCCUUCCAACCUGGACACCCCUGAGGCUUCUCCAGGCCUUGCACUCCCGCAGCCCUCAUGUAUGUCAGACCUACCCAGGAAUGGUUUCAGGGACAGUAAGAGGUCCCUGAAUAUCUGUACCCCGCCCCCACCAGUCCUGAGGGCUGUUUUUUUGUGUGUUUUGCUUGUUUGCUUGGUUUUGUUUGGUCGGGUUUUUUUUUUUUUUUUUUGAGACAGAGUGUCACUGUCGCCCAGGCUGGAAUGCAGUGCAAGCUCCACCUCCCAGGUUCAUGCCAUUCUCCUGCCUCAGCCUCCCGAGUAGCUGGGACUACAGGCGCCCACACCACGCCCGGCUAAUUUUUUGUAUUUUUGGUAGAGAUGGGGUUUCACCAUGUUAGCCAGGAUGGUCUCGAUCUCCUGACCUCGUGAUCUGCCCGCCUUGGCCUCCCAAAGUGCUGGGAUUACAGGCAUGAGCCACCGCGCCCAGCCUGUUUGGUCGGUUUUUUAGAGAUGGGCUUUCUUCAUGUUGCUCAGACUGGUCUCUAACUGGGCUCAAGCGAUCCUCCCACCUUGGCCUCCCAAAGUACUGGGAUUACAGGCUUGAGCCACCUCUGCCUCACAGUUCUCCACUCUCCAGCCCCUCCUCUUGGGCUUCCUUUGUAGUGCCCUUUUCUUUCUUUCUUUUUUGUUUUUUUUUGGGGGACGGAGUCUCCCUCUGUUGCCCAGGCUGGAGUAUAGUGGCGUGAUCUCGGCUCACUGCAACCUCCGCCUUCUAAUUUCUAUAUUUUUGGUAGAGAUGUCCCGGCUAAUUUUUAUAUUUUUGGUAGAGAUGGGGUUUCACCAUGUUGGCCAGGCUGGCCUCCACCUCCUGGCCUCAAGCGAUCCACCCACCUUGGCCUCUCAAAGUGCUGGGAUUACAGGCAUGAGCCACUGGGCCGGUCAGUGCCCUUUUCUCUGAAGUCCUUAAACCUGGGCAUGACUUCCAGGGGCUGAGUUCUUCUCUUUAUUCACCCUACCCUAAAAUAUCAUCCAGUCUCAGGGCUCCCAUCCAUUCACUGCUGACCAUCCCAAACUUCCCUCUGUGCCCAGAGCCCUCUCCUGUUUCAGAGCCCCUGGCUGCUUUCUGGUUGACUCACCAGUCCUCAGCAUUGUCCCCAUCCCUACAAAGCACCACUGUCUACCCAGGCAUCCACCUGAGCUAGAGACUGGGGUUUUCUGGAGUUCUCAAAGCUGGCACCAAUUGGCCUCUGCCCACCCCUAAAGUCACCUCUCAGCCAGGCAUCUUCUGAGUACUUUCUCUGCAGACACCCUCUGUUCCAGCCUCCUAUUGACUCCUUUCAUACUGCUCACCAUGGCCAGGCAGCAGUGUGCACACCAUGUGUGCUCAUGGGCCUGACCCUGCCUGACUGUGUUGUCUCUAAGUAGUGUGCGGGUAGGAACCACAGAAGUCCUUAUCAUCAAGGUGCCUGGCUCAUAGUGGGAGUUCAAGAAAUAUUUGUUGAAUGAGCAAGUAACUGAACGUGUAAAUGCAUGAGCCCUUGGCAUCCCCCUCUCCUGCCCUCACCUUCCUUUAGCUGCCCAGUCCUCUUGCUUCUUUCUCCUUAACAUCUUUUGAAUUAAUUCCCUCCCCCUACCAUGCCCACCCACUCCAGAAGAUAGUCCAUACUAUGUGGUAGGGCCUCCAAGGCCCAGGAGAUCUGGCCUCAGAUGACCUCACCUCCUUAUCUUGCACUUAUUCUGCGGCCCCUGUGAUCUGGCUUCCACUACACUCCCAGCCUGCAGCUCCCUGGAUGCAGCCUCCACCCUCUGGCCUCUGCCUUUUUUCCCAGCCUCCCUUCUGCCUAGGAUGCUUCUCCCCCUCAUCCACUUGGAAAACAGCUCAGAUGUCCCUUCCUCCAGGGAACCUGUGUCCUCUGAGCACCCAUUACUGCCUAUUGUCCUUGUCCAUGGCCAGGCCUGUGACCACCAGACCAGGCACAGAUGGCGCUGCAGUGAUUAAAUGGAACACCUGGGAGUUCACCUGGCUCUUCCCCCACAUCCAAGGGGCCUCGAGGGAAGGGCAGCAUCCCUCCGAGGGUCACAGGGUCCUGGUGGCUUUCAAAGCCUCUCCCUAACAAUUGGUGAGCUAAGCACAGGGGAGGACACAGCUUGAAACCCACUUCAAAGAGGAGACACCUGAAGCUCAGGGAAGGCAAGAACUUCCCAUAGAAACUGUCACAUCGUUGGGAAGGGCAGACUCUGAGCUCCAACUUGGCUCCCUGGGUCGUGGUCAGCUCGGCCCUGUUUGAAUCAGGCAUCAUUUCCUGAGCCCUGUCCUCUGCCUGGGACUCAGCUGGUAGCUGUGGUGUGUGUAGAAAGGAAUUAUGAGCACUUCUAACCACUGGGAGAUCACAUUCUCAGAGGGGUGGACUCAGGCCUGAGAAAAAUCCCUGGGACAGACAGCAGAGGGUGGUGAGAGCCGCAAUGAACCCCCAGUCCUCACACACGGCACUGCUAGUUCCAUUUCAGAAGUAAUGCAGUUCAAGUCCGAAACCCCAGAAAAACCGCGGCUUCCCUCACCCCACCCUACAGCCCCCGCGGAUGACAACUCUCUGCCAUGCAACCCCCACCCCCAUCCCAGCUUUCUGUGAACAGAUAGAAUAGAAGCUUGCCCUGGACUGUGCCUGGGGCCACAUCAUUCAUUCAUUUGCCAGAUAUACAGCAAGCAUUUGUGGAAUGUCGGCUGUGCCCGGGCCACCCUGGGGUGACCAGAGGUGAGAUCUCCCUAGUUCCUUCCCACAGGGCUCACAGUCAAAGAGAACAGGUAUGUCCAAGUCUCUGCACCUCCCAAGUCCCCAAAUGCUGAGGGUGUGUGUGUAUGUGAGUGUGUGGGACUGUGUCUGUGUGCACAUGUGUGCUAGUUAGGAAGGGCUUUGCAGAGAAGGGGCCCUUAGCGUGGCUCUUUGUUGGGGCUCCCUAGGCAGACAGUGGGUAGGUCCUGGAAGGAGCAGCUGAGGCUGGGGGAGCAAGAGUUUAAGCCACAGGAGAAAGGAGCAGCCUCUUUUGCUGAACCAGAGCAAAAGCUGGAGAAUUGCGUGCGGGGCCUUGGGGCCGGCUGGGGAGCAAGGAUUUUACCCUUGGGGUGAUGGGGAGCCUGGGCUUUAGGCUGGGGGAUUUUGUGGUCAUAUCUGUGCUUUGCAAACGUCACUCAGGCACUGUGUGUGUGUAUGAGGGGAGGCAGGAGGCCUCAAGGAGGCUGGUGCAAUUUCCAGCCCAGUGGAUGGUGGCCUGGGCCAGGGUAGGGGCCGUGGGGAUGGAGAGGAGACAUUUAAGAGAUGUUCAGGAGGCAGAAUGCAGAGCUUGGUGACUGAAGGGAUGUGGAGUCUGGAGAGAGGGAGACAUCCCAGAUGAGGCAGGGGCUUUGGGCCUGGGUGAUGGGUGGAUAGUGGGAUAAUGGUGUUUUUUAAUGAGGUGGGGAGGCCUGAAGGAUCUGGUUAAGGGAAAGGUAAUAUGGUCAGUUUGGGCAGGUGGCAUCUGAGGGAUCUAGGGACCACCAAGGAGGAAGUGUCCAGAAGGCAGCUGGACAGGCAGGGAGAAGAGAGAGGGGUCUGAGCUGGAGACAUCUUCUGGGGGGAACAGUGGUCAACUGGGUCACCAAGAGAUCAAGUAAGGAAAGGCCCAAAGCACCACGGCCUGUUGGAGCACUUCAGUGCAUGGUGGGGCAAAGGCAGGCUUGGAGGAGGUAGGUAUGAGGCUUGCGGGUAUACUUGACCCACCACCAGCCUCCACACCCCUCCAGCCCCAGCCUGGACUCUACUUUCCUUUGUGUGUGUCAAAAGACAAGAGCCAGGGAUGCUGCUCCACAUUCAAGUCCUGGCUUUACCACUGUCAUCAGGCUUCUCCUAGAGCCAUUUCUCCUUUCUGAUGCUUUAAGUGCACCCAUCCGUUUAAUCGUUAAAAUUGCUAUUUGAAGAAGUGCCGCAUCUCAUUAAUAAUCAACACAAUGCAAACACAAACAACAGGAGACACUAUUUUUUUUUGUUUGCCUCUGAGAUGGGCAGUGAUGAACAUGAUGUGUGAGGGGACACUCAAGAGAGUAGGAAUUGGUUUAAAUGUUUAAGGGUAGGCUGGGUGUGGUAGUGGCUCACACCCGUAAUUUCAGCACUUCGGGAGGCAAGGUGGGAGGAUGGCUUCAGCCCAGGAGUUAGAGACCAGACUGGGCAAUAUAGUAAAACCCAGUCUCUACUAAAAACACAAAAAUGAGCACGCCAUGGUGGCGCAUGCCUGUAAUCCCAGCUCAAGAGACUGAGGUGGGAGAAUCGCUUGAGCCCAGUAGGUUGAGGCUGCAGUGAGCCGUGAUUGUGCCACUGCACUCCAGCCUGGGCAACAGAGCGAGACCCUGUCUCAAAAAAAAAAAAAAGUUUAAGGGUAGUUUUUUCAGAAUUUAUC